UACGUACUCCCUCCGUCCGGAAAUACUUGUCGGGGGAAUGGACGUAUCUAGACGUAUUUUAGUUCUAGAUAUAUCCAUUUUUAUGCAUUUCUCCGACAAGUAUUUCAGGACGGAGGGAGUAGUAU
rnacentral:pre_miRNA from 1 species